rnacentral:rRNA from 1 species
UGAUCUUAGCUUGCUAAGGCUGAUGGCGACCGGCGCACGGGUGAGUAACACGUAUCCAACCUGCCGUCUACUCUUGGCCAGCCUUCUGAAAGGAAGAUUAAUCCAGGAUGGCAUCAUGAGUUCACAUGUCCGCAUGAUUAAAGGUAUUUUCCGGUAGACGAUGGGGAUGCGUUCCAUUAGAUAGUAGGCGGGGUAACGGCCCACCUAGUCAACGAUGGAUAGGGGUUCUGAGAGGAAGGUCCCCCACAUUGGAACUGAGACACGGUCCAAACUCCUACGGGAGGCAGCAGUGAGGAAUAUUGGUCAAUGGGCGAUGGCCUGAACCAGCCAAGUAGCGUGAAGGAUGACUGCCCUAUGGGUUGUAAACUUCUUUUAUAAAGGAAUAAAGUCGGGUAUGCAUACCCGUUUGCAUGUACUUUAUGAAUAAGGAUCGGCUAACUCCGUGCCAGCAGCCGCGGUAAUACGGAGGAUCCGAGCGUUAUCCGGAUUUAUUGGGUUUAAAGGGAGCGUAGAUGGAUGUUUAAGUCAGUUGUGAAGGUUUGCGGCUCAACCGUAAAAUUGCAGUUGAUACUGGAUGUCUUGAGUGCAGUUGAGGCAGGCGGAAUUCGUGGUGUAGCGGUGAAAUGCUUAGAUAUCACGGAAGAACUCCGAUUGCGAAGGCAGCCUGCUAAGCUGCAACUGA